GCUUGUCUCAAAGAUUAAGCCAUGCAUGUCUAAGUAUAAGCACUAUACAGUGAAACUGCGAAUGGCUCAUUAUAUCAGUUAUAGUUUAUUUGAUAGUCCCCACUACUUGGAUAACCGUAGUAAUUCUAGAGCUAAUACAUGCUGUAAAGCCCGACUUCUCGGAAGGGCCGUAUUUAUUAGAUAACAGACCAGCAGCUUCGGCUAUUGUGGUGAAUCAUAGUAACUAAUCGGAUCGCAUGGGCUAGUCCCGCGACAAACCAUUCAAGUUUCUGCCCCAUCAGCUUUCGACGGUAGUGUAUUGGACUACCGUGGCUUUUACGGGUAACGGAGGAUUAGGGUUCGAUUCCGGAGAGGGAGCCUGAGAAACGGCUACCACAUCUAAGGAAGGCAGCAGG
rnacentral:rRNA from 1 species